CGGACGGGUGAGUAAUGCCUGGGAAUCUGCCUGGUAGUGGGGGACAACGUUUCGAAAGGAACGCUAAUACCGCAUACGUCCUACGGGAGAAAGCAGGGGACCUUCGGGCCUUGCGCUAUCAGAUGAGCCUAGGUCGGAUUAGCUAGUUGGUGAGGUAAUGGCUCACCAAGGCGACGAUCCGUAACUGGUCUGAGAGGAUGAUCAGUCACACUGGAACUGAGACACGGUCCAGACUCCUACGGGAGGCAGCAGGC
rnacentral:rRNA from 1 species